UUUCUCAUUAUGUUUGGUGGGGGUUUUGUAGACUUGCUAUAAGUGACUUUUGUUGUUCUUGAUGCAUUCUUCUUCUUUUUCAAUCGGCCUCUUUUCAGAUGGUGUGGAGCUGUAGAGGGACUGAGGCGGGUGGGAGCAGCCGCGCAGCGAGCACUCUGAGCGGGCACACGGAGCGAGUGGACGCUGAUGGAUCAUGAGAGCGGCCGCCGGAGGAAAGCGCAGCCGGAAAGAGCGCUCGAUCGCCGGGUGCGCAUGUGAGGAUCCUCCCGGGAGGCAGACGGAACUCUGGAUGUGUCAGUCAAACUGAGUUGGAAACGAGGACUGUGAGCGACACCACAGCGUGUAAGUUUCUUGCCUGUAAAACUCUGCUCUGCUUGGGGAGAUAAAACGGCCCAAAUGAAACGAAGACGCACGUCAAGCAUGGCGGUGAUAAUUGGAUUGUGUGGACACCUGUAUGAGUGCAGUAUAUCCAGGGGAUUAGAGAACGGGAUGGGUGAGUCAACUCAAAUUAUUGUCACGUUAACCCGUACAACUGGCAGCCGCCGCCCCCUACUGCUCACUAAAAUAAGGUCCCAAGGGCCACAGAACUUGCCCCACUUGUGUACAACCUCUAGAGCCACAAACAUACAGGUGAUUUUCUAAAGCUGGUGCAUUAAAUAGGUGGUUCUCAAAUGGUUUUGCUUCAAAAGCCACAGUUCCAACAUUGUUUAUCGUGCAAAAGUAAACUGUUGAUUUCUACAUUCUCAGAAAAAGGGGUACAACAGCUUGUCCCUUGUCCCGGUACCUUUAUAAGCACAACUUUGUACCUUAUCUACUCCUAUAAGGUUCAUAGUAGUAUUUUCAGUGUACAUAUCACUACUCUAAGGAACUAAUAUGCACGUUUUUGUGGUAAAUAAGGUACAAAGUUGCCCUUUUAAGGGUUCUUCUCCAGUGACAAGCUCUUCCCCUAAAGGUACACAUUUAGAAUUUUUUUUUUUUUUUUUGUCUGACAUUGUAAAUGUCACAAGAAUUUAGAUUUCAUAAUACAGAUUGCAGCAUAUCAUCCUCAUAUCAUCCUCUACACAACAAAUUGUGGUCAGCACAAAACAUAUAUUUAUCCUGAUUUUAACCCAUUUUUAAUUUAGUAUGGGUUGUAUUUUUAUGCUGGCAUUAGGGUCUAUGACAUGACUAAAUGUGUUUGUCCUAUCUAUAAAUAAAAAAUAAAUUAAACAUGCAAUUCAUACAUAUAAUGACUUACCUAAAAGUACUGUCAAUUUUAAAUAAAAUAAAAUAAAAUAAAAUAAAAACAUAUUAUUGAAAUACCUCAUUAAGUAGUUUGGCAUAAUUGUUUAUUAUAAUUUCUUAAAAAAUAAUUGAACCAACAUGCAGAAACAACAACAACAACAUUAAUCAUGAAGUUAUAUAAUAGAAAUAAUCCGUUCAUGAAUCUCUUACUUUUUAACUUGAAAAAUAUAAUUAAAAACAUUUUGAAAAUAAUAACUUAUAUCUGUACACUGUGUGUAUUCAAGAUGUUAAGAAAAUGUUAUUACUUUUUAUUUGAUGGCUGCACUACAUGACAUUUUAGAGUCAUUAGAAUGUAAUGUUUUCUUGCAAAUAGUAUAAAUUUGGUUAAAAUAGAAUGGCAUGAAACCAAAAUGAAUACAAGUACAUUUGAAAGAACAUGGCACAUGCAUUUUAAACUAGAUUUUUAAAAUGUUUUCUUUUUCGUGGACACUGUUGUAUGCCAUUGAUCCAUUACUGACAAAAUAACCUCACAAAUUUGCAUCAACAACAAAAGAUAAGGAAAGUAAUUUCUCUUAUAAUUAUUAUUAUUAUUAUUUAUCUUAACCACACAUAAUUACGUAGUUAGAUGUAUUUUAUUAUUUGCAUUUAGCAAAUAUUAUUGUUUUCCCUUUCUGUCUGCCAUCACAACACACCUGUGACCCAUUUUAAAGUCCCAACCACUGCUGUAGAUAAGCCAGUAGAUUAGCUUUUCUGCAAGAUUAACUUUUAUCUGUUAAUAAAGUUUAAGGAAUAUUGAAUCUUUUAGUGUUUGAUAUCACAUUCGAUCUUGGUGCUUGAAGGAUAAAUGUCGGACACUACUGCCAACAGGCCUUGUAUAAGCUCAUCAGGGCGGCCAUCGUUAGCAGAAGUUUGUAAACAGAGCAUAGAGUGUGUGGAAGUGGGGCAGAGGUGCUGAAAGACGAGACGGCAAUAGUGAAACUCAAGCUGGCUGGAGCAGGGGAAGGAGGGGGCGCUUGUUUGACCACCGGGAUGAGCGAUGGGUCGACGGUCCCAUCAGAAAACACUGCCACGGCAACUGCACGGAUUCACUAGGUGUCGUCUAGGCAGGUAAUUCAUCAGCCCAUGUCGGGGCUGGGCCUCCGAAAACUUCCCAUGGUCACUUCUGAGUGCGAAUACGUAAUGAGAUGGAGGGCUCCACAUUUGCCAUGGCUGAUUAGACGAGAACAAUGAGCCCAAACAGAACUGGCAGUCCUCACAAUGGGGACUGGGAAGCCUCAAGGCGUUGCCUCCAUAUUUCUAGAGGAGGAAGAGAGAGAGAAAAGUGAACAAAACUGUAGUUUAUAACUGUCCUCUCUCUUUUGGACGACUGUUGUAGAUGUACAGUACUUUGUCAGUAGACUUCCAAGAGUUUGUAUGUGUGGUAAGGUUGUGCUCAAAGCCUAAAUAACAUGUUGAAUUUUAAAAAAAGUAA
ensembl:lncRNA